rnacentral:rRNA from 1 species
CCCUUAGAUGUUCGGGGCCGCACGCGCGCUACACUGAAGGAAUCAGCGCGUCUUUCUCCUUGUCCGAAAGGACUGGGUAACCCGCUGAACCUCCUUCGUGCUAGGGAUUGGGGCUUGUAAUUCUUCCCCAUGAACGAGGAAUUCCCAGUAAGCGCGAGUCAUAAGCUCGCGUUGAUUACGUCCCUGCCCUUUGUACACACCGCCCGUCGCUACUACCGAUUGGAUGGUUUAGUGAGAUCCUCGGAUUGGUCCCGGCGCGGCCUCUGGUCGUGCCGGAGUGCCGAAAAGAAUGUCGAACUUGAUCAUCUAGAGGAAGUAAAAGUCGUAACA